UACGGAGGGAGCUAGCGUUGUUCGGAAUUACUGGGCGUAAAGCGCGCGUAGGCGGCUUGGUCAGUUAGAGGUGAAAGCCCGGAGCCCAACUCCGGAACUGCCUUUAAUACUGCCAGGCUUGAGUUCGGUAGAGGAGAGUGGAAUUUCCAGUGUAGAGGUGAAAUUCGUAGAUAUUGGAAAGAACACCAGUGGCGAAGGCGGCUCUCUGGCCCGAUACUGACGCUGAGGUGCGAAAGCGUGGGGAGCAAACAGG
rnacentral:rRNA from 1 species